rnacentral:ncRNA from 1 species
AAUCCCCUGCUUCGCCAAAGCCCUGCGUGCCACGCUGGGUACUUGUAGGCAAAGUGGGGGAUU